AACCCACGGACCGCGAGAUCGUGACCUGAGCCGAAGUCGGACGCUUAACCCACUGAGCCACCCAGGCGCCCCGAACUGUGAAUUGUAGGUAUGACCAGUGGUCAAUGUCAAAGGUUCGGGAGCUAUGGGAAAGCUCGGAGAAGAAAAUAAAAACCUUCCGUACUGUCACCACACAGAGGCAGUCCUGGGUCGCCCUCCGGGGGCUCUGGGACACUUGUUUGUGCCCGUUGUGAUGAGGGCUGGGGUCAUCGCGACCACUUCCCAACCAGAUCGCUGCCUCUCCCCUCGCCUCCCACUCGAGGGACGCUGCCUUCUCGCGAGGCUGGCCUCUUCUUUUCUCCGUCGUUGGUCUCUUCCUGUAGAGUGCGAGGGGCACAGGGGUGUGGGCCUCUGCCGUUUUCCUGCUGGGCCUGUGUCCCCAGGCCUCGGAAGGGCGCCUGGCUCCUAAGGUGUUUGUGUUAAGUGAACAGAUAGUGUGUAAAAUGAACGUGACGGUGUGUGUACGUGCAACACAAGAUAAGGCUUCAGGAUUGCCUUUAUCCGGGGUGGGAUUCCACGACCCAAAGUUUUUGUUAAGGGCUUCUUGGCGCGUCACAGACCCGGGCGGCAUCCGGGCGUGGGGCUCCCACAGUCUGGCAGCGACACGCGGGACCGGCUCUUUUGUCACUGCUGGAGGUUUUCCUUAAACCUCCAAGUACAUUUGCACUUCCUCCUGGGGCUUUUGAUGGUCAAGAACGCGAGUUUUAUCCCCCUGGUUUUUCAUCAUCCCGGACAACCUCAUCAUUUAUUUACUCGGCCCUUAUCGUCGGAUAAAUCAAUUUUCCAAGGCCGCGUCAGGAUUAGCUCUGCUUCCACGAGCAUCUUCGAACAUAAAUCUUCCGUGCACGUCCGUUUCUUGAAGGGUUAUAUCAGCCACGUCACAGAAAACACGCAGACGAGCGGAUUGCAAGCCGCCCAUAAAACGUAAACUACAAUAUUUACCUUUCGGUUCCCGCCUUCUCAGGGUUUUUACACCGCGGGGAUGAAACGUGGGGCAAACGGCUCAGCACGCAUUGGUUUUGAUUCCCCUUUUGGAUUCCUUCUCAAGGUGGGGCUGAGAGAUGGCAUCAGAUGGGACACGUUCCGGAAGGCUGGUGCCAAUGUUUACGCUGUGACCCCUGCUGGUGAUUUAGGAUUUGUUCGUCCCUUUGUGUUUCAAGAGAAGGCUAGGUCAGGGGCCCCCCUACUAGGCCUGUGGUUCUCCCAGCUCUGUGCCCGACAGUGGCCUCACAGCGCCCUCCAGGGAGGGAUGACACAGGGGUGGGACGCGGGGAUGCCAUUUUGCUCUGGUCCUCAACUGGCGUUCCCCAAGAGUGUGGGCAAAGAAGGGGCCCUGAAUGGUGUGUGCCAGGUUCUCUGGGCAGGAACAGUGUUCAAUGCACCCCGGGACCUCAAACUCCACUCUGCGUGCUGUCACCAUAAACACCAAAGUGCCCGUUGAUAGAAGGUAACUCUGUGCCAACAAUCCUGUGGUGCGGCUUCUGUGAUCAUUACCUGUUCUUACCCUCAUUUUAGGGGACGAAACUGAGGCCCGGAGAAGUGCUCUGCCCAAGGUCAAACUGGUCUGUUUCUCAGGUCUGGGGUUUUCCGAGAGCCCGACUGCCUUUUCUCUUUCUCCCAAUCACCUUCCUUUAUUUCAAACAAACAAACAAAAAAUAGAGGCAGAUGCUUGCAAUCUCCUCUCCCAAGCGUGCUUGGCCAAAGGGGCAGAGGGAGGCUGAGAGAGAGGAAGGUUCCAAGUUCUCCCAGCCUGGGACGGGGCCUGGGGUACCUUAUCCUCAUGGAAAAUUCUAUCCCAGAACGGCUGCCCACACAGCCCAGCAAUCAGGGCUACAAAAGUGACAGCAAUGUUUGAAUAGAUUUUCUGUUCGGGCGGGGGGGGGGGGGAGGCUGCUGUGCUCCCCUCCCUCAGCUCCCGGAGCAGCAUAUGUAAACGAUUAAGACGGUUUGUUUUCUCUAGCGUGCUUGGGAGGAAGUGACACCGAAAUCCUGGUGGCCCAACGGCAGGGCCAGCGCCUCCGUGGGAAACGGGCCCCCAGCUUUUUCUGCAGCGGGUGUUGUUGGGACCCGCCUUCCCCCCACCCCCCAACCGGAGCCCUCCGCCCAGUGUGACCCCAUCUCCGCCGCAGGCAGUCCCGACCUGGCGAUGCUUCGUGAGACCCUCCCUUUGGAUGAGAAAUAAACCGAUGGGCCUCCAUCCA